rnacentral:tRNA from 1 species
GGAGAGGUGUCCGAGUGGUUUAAGGAGCCAGUCUUGAAAACUGGUGAUUCCGAAAGGGACCGUGGGUUCGAAUCCCACCUUCUCCG